AUUGAACGCUGGCGGCAUGCUUUACACAUGCAAGUCGAACGGUAACAGGGAGCUUGCUCCGCUGACGAGUGGCGAACGGGUGAGUAAUAUAUCGGAACGUACCCAAGAGUGGGGGAUAACGUAGCGAAAGUUACGCUAAUACCGCAUACGAUCUAAGGAUGAAAGCAGGGGACCUUCGGGCCUUGUGCUCCUGGAGCGGCCGAUAUCUGAUUAGCUAGUUGGUGAGGUAAAGGCUCACCAAGGCGACGAUCAGUAGCUGGUCUGAGAGGACGACCAGCCACACUGGAACUGAGACACGGUCCAGACUCCUACGGGAGGCAGCAGUGGGGAAUUUUGGACAAUGGGCGCAAGCCUGAUCCAGCAAUGCCGCGUGAGUGAAGAAGGCCUUCGGGUUGUAAAGCUCUUUUGUCAGGGAAGAAACGGCUGUGGCUAAUAUCCACGGCUAAUGACGGUACCUGAAGAAUAAGCACCGGCUAACUACGUG
rnacentral:rRNA from 1 species